rnacentral:rRNA from 1 species
AGAGUUUGAUCAUGGCUCAGGACGAACGCUGGCGGCUGGCUUAACACAUGCAAGUCGAGCGGAAAGGCCCUUCGGGGUACUCGAGCGGCGAACGGGUGAGUAACACGUGAGUAACCUGCCCUGGACUUUGGGAUAACCCUCGGAAACGGGGGCUAAUACCGGAUACGACACACUCUCGCAUGGGAUGUGUGUGGAAAGUUUUUCGGUCUGGGAUGGGCUCGCGGCCUAUCAGCUUGUUGGUGGGGUGAUGGCCUACCAAGGCGACGACGGGUAGCCGGCCUGAGAGGGCGACCGGCCACACUGGGACUGAGACACGGCCCAGACUCCUACGGGAGGCAGCAGUGGGGAAUAUUGCACAAUGGGCGGAAGCCUGAUGCAGCGACGCCGCGUGAGGGAUGACGGCCUUCGGGUUGUAAACCUCUUUCAGCAGGGACGAAGCGCAAGUGACGGUACCUGCAGAAGAAGCGCCGGCCAACUACGUGCCAGCAGCCGCGGUAAGACGUAGGGCGCGAGCGUUGUCCGGAUUUAUUGGGCGUAAAGAGCUCGUAGGCGGCUUGUCGCGUCGACUGUGAAAACCCGCGGCUCAACCGCGGGCCUGCAGCCGAUACGGGCAGGCUGGAGUUCGGUAGGGGAGACUGGAAUUCCUGGUGUAGCGGUGAAAUGCGCAGAUAUCAGGAGGAACACCGAUGGCGAAGGCAGGUCUCUGGGCCGAUACUGACGCUGAGGAGCGAAAGCGUGGGGAGCGAACAGGAUUAGAUACCCUAGUAGUCC